ACCCAGAAAAUUUGCACAGAGAGAAAGAGAGAAAGAGAGACAAGAGUGUGGCCCAUCUUUAAAGUGACACAUUAAUUCAAGAAUAAUUUUACAUCAGAAUUUUAUAGCGCAUUGUCGUACCUAUCAGUAGUUUGUCACGACUUUCCUUGUGAACAUAAAAAAUCAACUCUGUCUUCAAGUACCACUUGAGUGUCUGUCUCUCCACCAUUAGUUUCUUCUAGCAGAGUGAGAUACAUACCAAAUGAAUGAUGGAUCACCUUAAACCAAAAGAUCCAUCAAUGGCUUGCUAUUUUCUACUGAAUAUUAUGAUCAUCCUAUCCUCUUCUCUAUUUCCUGUUUGUGCUAGUGAAGACAUUUUGAGAGCAAGCAAAUCAAUCAACACUAACCAAACCUUAACUUCAGCUGGUGGAAAUUUUGCGUUAGGCUUCUUCAGUCCAGGCAAUUCCACCAACAGAUACAUUGGCAUGUGGUACAAAACAAUCUCCAAACAAACAGUCAUAUAUGGGUUGCUAAUAGAGACAACUCUCUUGCCAAAAUUCUACAGCGGUUUUCAGGCUCGGUGAUGAUGGGAAUCUUGUGAUUUUUGAUGGAAGAGGACAGGUAGUCUGGUCAACAAAUGCAACAAUUCUCAAUUUGGCCAUUAACUCCACAGUUGCACAACUUUCAGGUUGAAUUGGAAAACUGGACAGCGAAGCCUUCUAUACUCAUACGUAGACAAUAAAGAUCCUGGACCAGGAAUGUUUUUAGUAGGUAUAGAUCCCGAAGGGCAUCCACAGAUUUUCAUUUGGAAGCAAAACCAUCCAUAUUGGAGAAGCACAGUAUAUGACUAUAGUUUUUCUUAUAUAGGAUACAAAUCUUAAGGUUUUACCUCAUUUUUUACUUUCAUAGUAGAAGGUGAUGAAAUUUGUCUCAGUUGUAGUGUCCCUGAAAGUUCGAAGAAAAUAAGAGCCAUGCUAACUCCUAGUGGGCAAGCUCAGGUCUUUUAUGGGAACAAAGUGACAAUUCAUGGGUAGUUGCAUGGAAGUUGCCAGUAGUUGAGUCCAAAUGUGAUUUUUAUGGCCAGUGUGCUCCAUUUAGUAGCUGUGAACAAAAUGGUUUGCAUCCAUUUUGUUGUUCUUUUUGUUAGGAUUAGGGCACGCCUAAAAUCAAUCACAUACAGAAAAGAGACAAGAUAUUUACAUGGUUCGGCAAUUGCCUAUGUCCACAAAGAGAUAUUCACUAUAGAAUUUCCCAGAGGGAGUUUACAACACAAACACCUCACUCUCUCUUUAUAGCACUCUCACUCGUAAAUACAUACACUCUGUGUUGCCUUAUCUUUCUGAUGAACUAACUCAGCUCACCUCUUCCCAUUUUAUACACAAACGGGAAUGCCAAACUCAACCUCUGCUUGCCAACAACCAACUACCAAAGUUAAUGGCAAGCCACCCUAGGUUUGAAAAACUUUAGUAAGUUUGUAGCCUCCAUACUUGACUUCCAUAGCCAAGUUCACAUUGGUGUGGAUACUCAAUAAUUCUCCCCCUCUACAUCUAUGAGGAGUAGGAUCCUUACUGGAAGUCCAUCCUAACAAUGUCCCUGCAUACUUCGAGUUUGUCUCUCGAGACCACCUUUAUAAGCAUGUCAGCUGGAUUCUUAUCUGUGUGGAUCUUGACCAGUUCUAAUAACUGUUUUUCCAUCACUUUGCGUAUCCAAUGAUACCGAACAUCGAUAUGCUUUGUGCGAUAAUGGUACAUAGAAUUCUUGCUCAGGUCUAUGGCACUAUGGCUAUCACAAUGUAGCAUGAACUUUUCCUGCUUUAGUUCCAGUUCAUGGAGAAACCGUUUUAACCACAACAUUUCUUUUCCAGCUUCCGUUGCGACAAUAUACUCUGCCUCGGUUGUGGAUAAAGCAACACACGUCUGCAGCUUAGUCUGCCAAGACACGGCUCCCCCUGCAAAAGUAAAUAGAAAUCUUGAUGUAGAUUUCCUACCAUCAAGAUCCCCUACCAUAUCUGAAUCAGUAUAGCCUUUCAAGACUGGUUUAGCUCCUCCAAAGCACAAACACAUUUUAGAUGUACCCUUAAAGUACCUCAGAAUCCACUUGAUUGCUUCCCAAUGUGCUCUUUCCCUAGAUUGGAAAGAAAUCUGCUUACUACUCCAACAACAUGAGCAAUAUCUGGUCAGAUGGACACCAUUGCAUACAUCAAACUCCCUACUGCAGAUGAGUAGAGAAUUGCCUCCAUCUCUUCUCUUUCAUUUGUAGAUAAAGGACAAGAGCUCUUGCUCAGCUUGAAAUGGUUAGCCAGCAGAGGAUUAACUGGCUUGGCAUCUUUCACGUUGAACCUUUCAAUCACCCGUUCAACAUAUUUUUCCUGUGACAGCCAUAUCUUCUUGGCUUUCCUAUCAUGAACAAUCUUUAUGCCCAAAAUUUGCUAUGCUAGGCCUAAAUUCUUCAUGUCAAAAUACUGCGACAAGUCCUUUUUCAACUUGUUGAUCAUAACAGGAUCAUGUCCGAUGAUCAGCAUAUCAUCGACAUAAAAACAGUAGAAUGAUGAAGUUUCUAUCUAAAAACCUUCGGAAAUAUACACACUGGUCUGCAACCGUUAUUGUGUACUCAUGAUCCACCAUGAAUGAGUCAAACUUCUUGUACCAUUGUCUUGGCACCUACUUCAAGCCAUAGAGCCUCUUCUUCAAUUUGUAGACUAAAUUAUGUUUCCUUUUAACUUCAAAUCCUUCUGGUUGCUCCAUAUAGAUUUCUUCCUCCAAAUCACCAUGGAGAAAGACAGUCUUGACAUCCAUCUGUUCUACCUCCAGAUUCAAGCGAGCUAUUAAUCCCAGAGCUACUUGAAUGGAAGUCAUCUUCACAACUAGAGAGAAGAUCUCAUCAAAAUCAAUUCCUUUCUUUUGUCCAAAACCUUUGACCACCAAGCAAGCUUUAUGCUACAAUAGUUUACCGUUGCCAUCUUUCUUCAAUUUAUACACACAUUUGUUCUUCAAGGCUCUCCUGCCUCGUAGAAGUGGAACAAGCUCAUAAGUAUGGUUCUUCUGCAAAGAACUCAUCUCCUCCUUCAUGGCUUGCAUCCAAUAGUCUUUCUCUGUAUGACUCUUUGCUUCCAAAAAACUCUCAGGUUCCCUCUCAUCAGUAAUCAGAAUAUACUGAGAAGUGGGAUAUUUGGUUGAUGGCACGACAACUCUUCUAGAUCUCCUGCCUCUGGUUGAGGGGGUUGCUCCCCCUGCUCAACACCCUCUUUAUCUGGGUCUUCAUCUAUUUCCUCCUGAUCCUCAAUUUCUGGCAUAGGAUCCUGCAACUCUGGCACUUCUUGUUGCACAUCAUCACAUCUAGCAUUUUGUGAUGGCUCAAGAGACAGGAACAAGUUUGGAGUGAUGGCAUCUCUAGACUUUGCAGAGUUCUCAAAAUCUGGUACUGUCUAGUCUUCCUGGAACACAAUAUCUCUGUUCCUGAACAUCUUCUUAUUCACUGGGUCCCACAGCUUAUAUCCAAAUGUUGUGUCUGAAUAGCCCACAAAUAUACAUGGAGUGGACUUGUCAUCAACCUUCUGUAUGUUUUCCUUGGAGAUGUGUACGAACGCCUUACAUCCAAAGACUCUCAAGUGAGAAUAUGAUACCUUUCUUCUGGACCAGACUUCCUUAGGUAUUGCAAAAUUCAACAGGACUGAAGGUGACCUGUUGAUGAGGUAACAGGCUGUACGGGCGGCUUCAACCCAGAAUGACUUUGGCAACUUUGCCAUUCUGAGCAUGCAUCUGACUCUUUCAAUAAUAGUGUGGUUCAUCAUCUCUACCACGUCAUUGUGUUGUAGGGUACCAGGAACUAUUGUCUCGUACUGGAUACCUCUGCUAGCACAAUAUGCUUCAAAAGUAUUGGAAGUGUACUCGCCACCAUUGUCUGUGCAAAGACACUUCAAUUUCUUCCCGGUCUCUCUUUUCACCAUUGCAUGAAACUCCUGGAAGUGCUAGAAUACCUCAUCCUUCAUCUUCAGGAAAUACAUCCACAAUUUCCUUGAUGCAUCAUCAAUGAAGGUCAGAAAAUACUUGCGGCCGCCAAGUGACUUCAUUUCAAUUGGGCCACAAACAUCCAAGUAUACCAUACUGAGCACUUCUAUUUUCCUCUUGCUCAUUGAAUUGAAUAGUACUCGAUGCUGCUUGUCAUAAAGGCAAUGAUCAUAUGGCUUCAGGGCACUCCCUUUGGAUAAGGGUAUCUUGGAUUGUUGUGCUAACAGAUGCAAUCCCUUCUCACUCAUGUGAGCCAGUCUUCUGUGCCAUAAAUCUGGUGACUCCCCUGUCUUCUGUUGCAUUAAGACUUUCCAGACAGAUUUUUGUUUGAGUCUUGUACAGUGUUGAAGACAUCUCUCCUCUAGCGAUUGUCAAAGCUCCUUCUAUUAGCUUCCAACAGCCAUUUCUGAAUGUUCUUGUAUAGCCCUGUUGGUCCAAGGUGCUUCCAGAGAUAAGCUUGAGGCGCAAAUCAGGGACAUACCUCACAUUUUUGAGAACCAACUUGUGUCCAACAUUAGUCUGAAUACUAAUGUCUCCAAUAUCCACAAUCUUCGAAUAGCUAGUAUUCCCCAUUUGAACAGUGCCAAAAUCUCCAGCAUUGUACGAACUAAAGAGCUCUCUGUGGGAAAUGGCAUGAUAGGAUGCAGUUGUGUCUAUCACCCACUUUGUACAGCUAUGGUCAGCCACGUGAAGGCAAUCCUCUUAUUCACCAACUCCAAGAAGUAUUUCAUCAGCUGUUGUGGUUGUCAUGUUCUCAUCUCCCUUUGACUUACUGCUUUGGCCUUUAUCUUUCUGGCUUGGGCAGUUCCUCUUUAUGUGACCCUCCUAGCCACAGUGAAAGCAAGUGAAGCUAGAGUUACCUUGAUUUUUACUAUCUCUGGAUUUACUACUGUUGUUUCAUUUGCCUCUACUCUUACUUCUUUCUCUACCUCUUCCUCUACCUCUAUCUCUGCCUCUACUUUCUGUGACAAGAGCAUGGGAAUGAUUACCUCUCAUGUCUUUCCUCUUUGACUCUUCAUUGUACAUGGCGUCUGUGACCAUGCUCAUGGUCAGCUUCCCCUCUAGUGCAGAGUUUUUGAGAGAAACCACCAACGUUUCCCAACUAUCUGGUAAAAAACUGAGAAGUAGUACGGUUUGCAUUUCAUCAUCCAAGGGCAUCUUGACGGUUGCAAGUUGAUUCACCAGAUUCUUGAAUUCACUGGUGUGCUCGGCAACAGACACACCAUUCUUUAACUUCAGAUUUACAAGCAUUUUCAUCACUAAGGCUUUGUUUCGGGCGGUCUUUAACUGGUACAUUCCUUCUAACAUUGUCCAAAGGACAUAUGCUUCUGUCUCCUAAGCGACAUGGUGGAACACACUGUGGUUUAUCCAUUAUCUGAUACAACCGACAGUCUCUUGGUUUAUCUUUAUCCAGUCUUCAUCCUUCACUUCUUCUGACUUAACCCCUUUUAGAGCAAUAGGGUCAAACAGGUCUAUAUAAUAUAGGAUGUCUUCCAUCUAUGGCUUCCAAAUUGCAUAAUUGGAAGGAUUUAACUUUAUCAUCAAACCUGAAGUUGAUGUAGUUUCCUCCAUCGUCUUCUUACUUUUACAGAAACUCUUAUUCAAAAAUCUGACCAUACAGAUCUCUCUGGAAUACUCCAGAUAGUUGGAAACUAUUAUUGGCUCGCCAAAGUCGGACUUCAAAUGGCUCAAAUCUAGUCAAAAUAAGCUCGACAGUUCAAAUUUGCGAACGUACCGUAGCCACAUAGCACCAAAUAACUCUUUGUCUCCGGGUCGGGUCGGGUCAAACUAACGGGUUGAUAGGUCAACUGGCGUGAUGACGUGGCUAACACGUGGCGACAUGCGAGCUGACCUGGCUUACACAUGGCUAAAACGUGGCAUUGACGUGGCGCUGACGUAACUGCCAGAUGGCGUGUGACGUGGCGGUGACAUCGCGAACACGUACACACCACUCUCAUUCGUCAUUCCUCUGCACAUCGGGCACGUGCUUGAGACUGGUGUAACAUGUUGGUACUUUCAAUGGCGCGUGUGGCCCGUGUCAACUGAGACUCACGCGCUUUCUUUAGCUGGUGCGUGAGAGCUCGUAGAGCAUCGUCUAGGGCUCUGCUUUGCAGUUCUGGACUUCUCUCAUUGAGAGCUUCCUCUCAGUAUGCUCAAAAGUGAAUUUGAGCAACUUGAUUUCUGGCAGUUUCGAAAAAACACACCUUGCUUUUCGGAAAAAUCAACCAACGAGGCUCUGAUAUCACUUGUUAGGAUUAGGGCACGCCAAAAAUCAAUCACACACAAAAAAAAAGACAAGAUAUUUACGUGAUUCGGUAAUUGCCUACGUCCAUGGAGAGAUAUCCACUAUAGAAUUUCCCGGAGGGAGUUUACAACACUCACACCUCACUCUCUCUCUAUAGCACUCUCACUCACAGAUACAUACACUCUGUGUUGCCUUCUCUUUCUGAUGAACUAACUCAGCUCACCUCUUUCCAUUUUAUACACAAACGGGAAUGCCAAACUCAAUCUCUGCUUGCCAACAACCAACUACCAAUGUUAAUGGCAAGCCACCCUAGGUUUGAAAACUUCAGCAAGUUUGUAGCCUCCAUACUUGACUUCCAUAGCCAAGUUCACAUUGGUGUGGAUACUCAACAAUUUGCAGGGUUUUGAACCUAAAGAUCAAAAUUCUUUGAAUCUUGGAAAUUGGACAGGAGGUUGUGCCAGGAAAAUGGCACUGACAUGUGAUCUGGGAGAUUGGUUUUUUAAGUUUGAAAGGAUAAAAUUGCCUGAUUAUUCAACCUCUCGUGGAGAUAUGACUGUUAAUUAAUGUGAAUCCAAACGUCAUGACAACUGCUCCUGCACAGCUUACGCGUGUGCUAAUAUGAGUGGAGAAACUAUUUCGAGGGUCUCGUGGACCUAAAAGGCAAUGACUACCAUGGCAAAGACCUUUAUGUACGCCUUCAUGGCUCGGACCAAGUUGCUGAUGGUAAGUUGAAGCAUAGAAGCAAAAAUCUAAUUGCGAUUGCAGCAGCUGUCAUCUCUGUAGGAUUGCUUCUUAUUAGUAGCUUUGGCUAUGUCUUCACGAUGAGAAGGCUGAGAAGUCAAGGUAUCACAACCUCACAAAUGAAAGUUAUUUAAUAGCACACUUGCAGUUUCUCAUACAUGAUUUUGUUUAACUGAAUACUCUUGAGUACGAGACAAUAGAUGGAGAUUCACACGAGCUUGACGCCAACUCUAGUGCGUCUGUUGUUGGGCCAAGUAAUGGAGAAUUGUUAUCGUUUAGUUUAAGAAGCAUAUUAGUUGCUACUGACAAAUUUUCUGAAGUAAAACAACUUGGAGAGGGUGGGUAUGGACCUGUUUAUAAGGGGAAUUUUCCUGAAGUACAAGUAGUAGCCAUUGAAAAGCAAUCUAAAAAAUCAUUACAAGGAACAAAGGAGUUCAUGAAUGAGUUGAAACUUAUUGCCAAACUCCAAAAUCAAAAUCUUGCUGGGCUUUUGGGUUGCUGUGUUGAAUAAGAGGAAACGAUACUAAUCUAUGAGUAUAUGUGCAAUGGAAGCCUACACAAAUUGCUAUUUUGUCCCUCUAAGUAAGCCAAUCUGGACUGCAAUAAACGAUUCCUAAUCAUAGAAGGGAUUGCUCAAGGUCUUAUCUACUUGCACAAGUAUUGUAUAUUGAAAGCCAUUCACAAGGAUUUAAAGGCAAGCAAUAUUUUGUUGGAAGAAGCAAUGAAUCCCAAAAUUUUGGACUUUGGAACUGCAAGGAACUUGGAAUAAAUCAAACUAAAGCAAAUACCAUGUGAGUGGUGGGCACAUAGUAAGUACCAACUGAUAUUUUUAUUUUUAUGAAUUUUGAAUGAGAUAAAUUUAUGUGUACUGCAGAAAUCAAUAUAGGGCUGCUGCUGCUAUUUCUUCAAUUUGAUUGAUAGCAUUGUUAUUAGUGAUGCAGUGGCUACAUGUCACCAGAAUAUGCAUUAUA